UUUCUAUAAUCCGUCUCAUCAUAAUUGAUCCAGGAUGUCCCAAUCGAUCAUGCCAAAGUACGAAAAUAUUGGAAUCAGUAACCUUUUGGUUUACGGUGUGCCUCAAUUGCACUAAUUCUUGUCCAAUACAGACCACAAGUUAAAGAUGAAAACUUCUCAAUAACCCUCUUUUGGUCAGAGACAUUCUUUAUAAAGAUGAGAUAUUCAAGAUUAUUCUCAUCUAUUGUCUCAAUAAGAUAUCCAUUUUGACUGAUAUCUUUAAAA
rnacentral:lncRNA from 1 species